rnacentral:rRNA from 1 species
CAUGCAAKUCGAACGGUGAUCCCCUUCGGGGGUGAUCAGUGGCGAACGGGUGAGUAACACGUGAGCAACCUGCCCCUGACUCUGGGAUAACCCCGGGAAACCGGAGCUAAUACCGGAUAUGACGCGCUCGGGCAUCCGAUGCGUGUGGAAAGAUUUAUCGGUCAGGGAUGGGCUCGCGGCCUAUCAGCUUGUUGGUGGGGUAAUGGCCUACCAAGGCGACGACNNGUAGCCGGCCUGAGAGGGCGACCGGCCACACUGGGACUGAGACACGGCCCAGACUCCUACGGGAGGCAGCAGUGGGGAAUAUUGCGCAAUGGGCGAAAGCCUGACGCAGCGACGCCGCGUGAGGGAUGAAGGCCUUCGGGUUGUAAACCUCUUUCAGCAGGGAAGAAGCGCAAGUGACGGUACCUGCAGAAGAAGCACCGGCUAA